GCAGCCCCAGCCAGUCGCCUGCAAAGGUGUGCGAGGCUUCGGCCAAUGGGGAGAGGCUUCCACGCGUGAUCAGCGCCUGCCCGGAAGCGUGGAGCGGGAGCCAUGGCGGCGUGUUCCCAGGGCAGCCCUUGGACCUCACAUCGUAAAUUGACCACUCUACUGGAUGCUCCUUUGGACUGAUGUCUUGGCUUACUUGCUGUACCCUUCUGGCUUGGACUACUUGACCCUGAGAACUGUAACUGGCUGGAAAGCAUCUGUACAUGUCUAGAGACUGGCUGGUUUGCCCAAUGCAAAGUGCUGAAAAGCAUUGUUGACAGAGGAUGAGCAAGUGGGAGUACCUCUAAAAUUGUGAGUAACGUGAUUAGGUCUGUGAUGAAAUUUCCCAAGGUAGAUGUAUGGGGAGAGUUAGCAAGAUCUUGUGCCCAUCUUACCAUCUCUUUUUGAGGGUCCUCCUGUAGGUAAGUAAUCAUUUGAGGUUGGGAGGCUGUCUGUAGUAAAGAUCUGCCAUGAAAAAUCCUUGCAAGAGCAAGAUUAUUUUCCAGAAUAGCUUGUAGUUCAUUGAUGAGACAUCUAAAUGGUCUCAACUUGGAGCUGUAUGUGACCACUCAUGGGGUUAUGUCAUUUACUUUCUUUAGUCCUGGGUACAAAUCUUUGCCAUUUUUUAAAAACUGUACCCAUAGCCUGAAGAAUGCUUGUUACAAUUCCAUGGGUUUGGCAUCUUAUGUAUCUGAGCAGAUGCAAUUGUACCAAAGGGCUUGGCUGUAAACUAUGUAUUUGAUGGUGUAUUUAGGAUGAAACUGGAAGCAUGUAAGUAUGUGUAGUGGUCAGUGAGUCUGUGAUAUAAUGUGGUGUUUAGAUGUCUAUUGUGUAAUUAUACAGUGCUGUCCAGAAAGUGAACCUGUUCUGUUGCUAAUUCCAGGCUGAGAUUGAUGGUAGGGUGGAGGUGGUUGAACUUUUCUGGAAUGUCAUCAGUGAGUCCUCGGCAUCCGAGUCUGUUUAUUACAAAAGUGGAAUACAAGCAUGGCAAGAGACUGGAAAAAGCUUGGAAUGGGAAGAUGAAUGGGAGAGCUCAGCCAUAUUAACAUUGGUUAUGUAAGCCCUCUGUUGUUUAUAUUACAACAGAUUAUCCUUUCCCCCCCAAGAUGCCAUCAAAUAAAUGAGAAGUCUGCAAUCGUAUAACUAUUCCUAAUACUUUUUCCUCUUGAACUCAGCUGGAUUUACUUCUGAGUAGACAGUUAUAGACUUGCACAGUUAAUACUGAGGCUUGAAAAACUACUCACCUACCACUUGCUUUCUUCCUUUCAGCAGCUUAUUGGGGUUUUUUUAAGGGUAUUAGAAAUGUUUGGUAAUUUACUGCAUGUCACCUAGCAAAAGAUCUUGAUCUAUCUGCUGUCAAACUCUGGUUUAGAAGUCUUCUAUACCACUAUCACGCUUUGGUUCUAAAAUUCUUGUACCUUUUGUGUUGUCCUGCCUGCUGCAUACAAUUUGUUGUUUCAUUCGUAUUUUUCUUUCUUUUCACAGCAUACAGUGGAAUUAUAUGUGAAUUUGAUUGAGAAGGGAUUAAGCACCUUUCCUAUCCCACUGUUUUAAACAAAUUAGCAAUGUGUGAUCCACAUAAGUAAAAAUGACCUUAUAUCAGUUCUAGAUCUCCUAGCUUAACCAAUAUAGUAUGGUAUAAAGUUUAAUGCAGUAUUUCUCAGGCUAUGACGCUGGAGAAGAGUCAUGAUUUUCUGAUGUGCCAGGGAAUGGUAACACAUUUCUGCCUGUUGGCAAGAACUGUUUCUUUCUCUGUGGAAACUCUGUGGACAGGCAGUGGAUGCCUCCCAGAAUUACAUGUCUAAGGACCACCACUUUGAGUAGCACUGGUUUAAUGGACUGCACUUUUUGAGUUGAAUUAGACUGGUAAAAUGUGCCCCCUAGUGGAUAUUUCUUGGCAGUAAUUUUAAUAAUAUGUCAAGUCAUGAAAUAGGAAUGAAUAGGAAAUUGAAAUAAAGAUUUCCCCUAUCUUGAAUCAAACAUUGAUCAGAAUGGUAAUUGCAGUCAGGGCAACUAUGCAAGAACUAGAUAAAAUCCUAACGUGUAAAGAUGUACAGCUGAACACUAAAGUUAGAAUUGUCCAAGCCAUUGUAUCCCGUUACUACGGAUAGCGAUGAGAGCUGGCUAGUGAAGAAAGCAAGAUAGGAAGAAAAUAAAUCCAUUUGAGAUGUGGUGCUGGAGAAAAGUGCUUAGGAUACCAUGGACAGCUAAAAAGACAGACAAAUGGGUCCUAGAAAAGAUCAAGCCUGAAACCUCCCUG